AAUCUGAUCCAAAUCUGAGAAAAUUAAUUCCAAGUUGAUUACAUCAAUAUCAGCUUUUGGCUCAACCUUCCCAUUCACAUGAACAAUGUCAUUGUCCUCAAAACAACGUACUACCUGAAGUAUGGAGUCCACUUCACGUAUAUGUGACAAGAACUUAUUCCCCAGGCCCUCCCCUUGACUGGCUCCCUUUACAAGUCCAGCAAUAUCAACAAACUCUAUCGAAGCCGGGACCGCUCGUUUGGAUUUGCUUAUAUCAGAAAGAACAUGGAGACGUGUAUCAGGGACAGCGACUAUCCCUACAUUUGGCUCUAUUGUGCAAAAAGGAAAAUUAGCAGCCUGAGCCUUUCCAUUCUCAACGACGGCGUUGAACAGCGUGGACUUGCCGACAUUAGGAAGGCCAACGAUGCCAGCUCGCAAACUCAUGCUUAUCUUAGCGACGGAGAAGCGCCUUUUGAUGAGUACCACAGGAUGCGUAGAUUCUGAGAGUCGUAACCACUGGUGAGAAGAACCAUUGAGGAAAGAAGACUUGAGCGGAAUUGCCAUGGAAGGAAGAAGCUGAGAGCAAGCCAUUCUCGCCAUUUUACCACUAGCAAGUUGAAGUGCUUAUUGAGUGGUACACACAGCGUUGCG
rnacentral:misc_RNA from 1 species